AGCGAACGCUGGCGGCAGGCUUAACACAUGCAAGUCGUGCGGGCAUCCUUGUGGUGUCAGCGGCAGACGGGUGAGUAACGCGUGGGAACGUGCCCUUCGUUUCGGAAUAACUCAGGGAAACUUGAGCUAAUACCGGAUACGUGCGAGAGCAGAAAGGUUUAUCUGCCGAAGGAUCGGCCCGCGUCUGAUUAGCUAGUUGGUGAGGUUACGGCUCACCAAGGCGACGAUCAGUAGCUGGUCUGAGAGGAUGAUCAGCCACACUGGGACUGAGACACGGCCCAGACUCCUACGGGAGGCAGCAGUGGGGAAUAUUGGACAAUGGGGGCAACCCUGAUCCAGCCAUGCCGCGUGAGUGAUGACGGCCUUAGGGUUGUAAAGCUCUUUUCUCCGGGACGAUAAUGACGGUACCGGAGGAAUAAGCCCCGGCUAACUUCGUG
rnacentral:rRNA from 1 species